AUGAACGCUGGCGGCGUGCCUAAUACAUGCAAGUCGAGCGAACAGACGAGGAGCUUGCUCCUCUGACGUUAGCGGCGGACGGGUGAGUAACACGUGGAUAACCUACCUAUAAGACUGGGAUAACUUCGGGAAACCGGAGCUAAUACCGGAUAAUAUAUUGAACCGCAUGGUUCAAUAGUGAAAGACGGUUUUGCUGUCACUUAUAGAUGGAUCCGCGCCGCAUUAGCUAGUUGGUAAGGUAACGGCUUACCAAGGCAACGAUGCGUAGCCGACCUGAGAGGGUGAUCGGCCACACUGGAACUGAGACACGGUCCAGACUCCUACGGGAGGCAGCAGUAGGGAAUCUUCCGCAAUGGGCGAAAGCCUGACGGAGCAACGCCGCGUGUGUGAUGAAGGUCUUCGGAUCGUAAAACUCUGUUAUUAGGGAAGAACAAAUGUGUAAGUAACUAUGCACGUCUUGACGGUACCUAAUCAGAAAGCCACGGCUAACUACGUG
rnacentral:rRNA from 1 species